rnacentral:rRNA from 1 species
GACGAACCGAGCGAACGUUGUUCGGAAUCACUGGGCUUAAAGGGCGCGUAGGCGGUCAGCACAAGUCAGUUGUGAAAUCUCCGGGCUUAACUCGGAAAGGUCAACUGAUACUGUGCGACUAGAGUGCAGAAGGGGCAACUGGAAUUCUCGGUGUAGCGGUGAAAUGCGUAGAUAUCGAGAGGAACACCUGCGGCGAAGGCGGGUUGCUGGGCUGACACUGACGCUGAUGCGCGAAAGCCAGGGGAGCGAACGGG